rnacentral:tRNA from 1 species
CAGAUAAUAAUUUAAUUUUAAAAUAUUGGCUUUGGGGGCUAAAAAUCAUUAUUCAUGUUAUCUGAA